UACGAAGGGGGCUAGCGUUGCUCGGAAUCACUGGGCGUAAAGCGCUCGCAGGUGGUUCGUCGCGUCGUGCGUGAAAGACCCCGGCUCAACUGGGGAGUGUCGUGCGAUACGGGCAGACUGGAGUACUGCAGGGGAGACUGGAAUUCCUGGUGUAGCGGUGGAAUGCGCAGAUAUCAGGAGGAACACCGGUGGCGAAGGCGGGUCUCUGGGCCGAUACUGACGCUGAGGAGCGAAAGCGUGGGGAGCGAACAGG
rnacentral:rRNA from 1 species